ACGCUGGCGGCGUGCUUAAUACAUGCAAGUCGAACGGAGUUAAGGGUUUCGGCCUUUUAACUUAGUGGCGAACGGGUGAGUAACGCGUGAAUAACCUGACUCAAAGAGGGGGAUAACAACGGGAAACUGUUGCUAUACCGCAUGAGACCACAACACCGCAUGAUGAAGGGGUCAAAGAUUUAUCGCUUUGAGAGGGGUUCGCGUCCCAUUAGGUAGUUGGAGGGGUAACGGCCCACCAAGCCAACGAUGGGUAGCCGAGCUGAGAGGCUGAUCGGCCACACUGGAACUGAGACACGGUCCAGACUCCUACGGGAGGCAGCAGUAGGGAAUAUUGGGCAAUGGGCGCAAGCCUGACCCAGCAACGCCGCGUGAGGGAAGAAGGUUUUCGGAUUGUAAACCUCUGUCCUAUGUGACGAAGGAAGUGACGGUAGCAUAGGAGGAAGCCCCGGCUAACUACGUG
rnacentral:rRNA from 1 species